UUUGUGAUUUUAAAGGGGCUAUAUAUAAGAAUUUUCAAGUAUUAAUCACUUGUUUUAUUGACAAUGUAUUAAGUGAACAGCUUGUAACGAAACUUAAAAAACGAGACCUUUCCUUAGAGAACUUCAUAGGUUGUUGUCAAUGAAAGCCUGUAGACUCGGGAUGUUUUUCCCGGGAAAAUCAAAAGGAUGUGACAUUUACACAUGCUUCCAAGAGACAGAUCUUUAUAGUCUCAAAUAUAGCCUACUUUAUUUAAUUACUUCAUCUGUCGACAUGAUGCUGGUGAAUUGCAGAGCUGCUGCAAACAUAUCCAUAUCGCUUAGAUGCUUUCUUAACUGCUUUCUCACCGCUGUCAUUUUUGUUGUGUAAAUUUUAUUAUUAAAAGGAAAGUACGCAGCAUAGUCUAUUUAUUCAUUCUAAACUUCUCUCAGCAGUGUGGAAGACAUCGGGUCAGGAUGUUCGUUAACAGUAGCUGCAAAGAUCGGACACUGCUCAGGUAGCUCCUACAGCCAGCACUUCUAUUCUGAGAGGGGGUAUCACUGGCACUGUAGUAAGACCUUCCAUCACUCGAGAGCGAACGGUUCAUCAGCCUUCUGGAACUCAUCUUCUUAAUCUGGACAUUGGCAUACCCUCCAUGAUGGAAAUAUGGACUGCUCUCCUUCGUGUUCGGGGAACGCUACUCUGCCGUGGACCGUGAGUGAUGGAGGGACAACUCCUACUGGGGACCAUCCCAGCCCUAAAACCACAAA